CGUCGCAGGCGUAGGAAAUUUGAGAAGACCUGUCCUUAGUACGAGAGGACCGGGAUGGACGUACCUCUGGUGUACCAGUUGUUCUGCCAAGGGCAUGGCUGGGUAGCUAUGUACGGAAUGGAUAAGCGCUGAAAGCAUCUAAGCGCGAAGCCAACUUCAAGAUAAGAUUUCCCACCGCAAGGGUAAGACUCCAGAAAGACUAUCUGGUUGAUAGGUCGAAGGUGUAAGUGCAGCAAUGUAUUUAGCUUAUCGAUACUAAUAGGUCGAGGACUUGACCAAU
rnacentral:rRNA from 1 species